rnacentral:rRNA from 1 species
AUUGAACGCUGGCGGCAGGCUUAACACAUGCAAGUCGAACGAGUGGCGGACGGGUGAGUAAUGCUUGGGAAUCUAGCUUAUGGAGGGGGAUAACUACGGGAAACUGUAGCUAAUACCGCGUACCAUAGGAUGAGCCCAAGGGGGAUUAGGUAGUUGGUGAGGUAAAGGCUCACCAAGCCGACGACCUCUGGCUGGCCUGAGAGGAUGACCAGCCACACUGGGACUUAGACGCGGCCCAGAAUCCUACGGGAGGCAGCAGUGGGGAAUAUUGCGCAAUGGAAGCAACCUGACGGAGCCAUGCCGCGUGAAUGAAGAAGGCCUGCGGGUUGUAAAGUUCUUUCGGUGGCGAGGCGUUAACUGCAGAAGAAGCAACGGCUGACUCCGUGCCAGCAGCCGCGGUAAUAC